GACGUAGGUGGCGAGCGUUAUUCGGAAUUACUAGGCGUAAAGCGCGUGCAGGCGGGCAUCUAAGUCCGGCGUAAAAUCUCCCGGCUCAACUGGGAACGGUCGUCGGAUACUGGAUGUCUUGAGUGAUGCAGAGGAAGCUGGAAUUCCCGGUGUAGCAGUGAAAUGCGUAGAUAUCGGGAGGAACACCAGUGGCGAAGGCGGGCUUCUGGGCAUCCACUGACGCUGAAGCGCGAAAGCUAGGGGAG
rnacentral:rRNA from 1 species